rnacentral:lncRNA from 1 species
CUAAACCCAGUAUGUGGCUCGGUUGGGGCCUCCGGUUUUAGAUGUUAGGCUUUGAUGCGAUGUCUGUUUGGUAUUAGGCUCGGACUAUCGGCACCCCUUCAUCAAGUGGUUAGGAGUAGCCAUAGUUGUUGCUAAGAUGGUGGCUUCGAACAAACUGAUGUACUACUUGUAAGGUUUUUGUGAAUAAUUAAUAAAAUGACUGCAUGCAUCGUCCAGAUGCAGAGGCCGGGGGUAAUCCUUCUUUUCUAAAAAAAUAAAAU